rnacentral:rRNA from 1 species
UACGGAAGGCAGCAGUGGGGAAUAUUGCACAAUGGGCGAAAGCCUGAUGCAGCUAUGCCGCGUGUAUGAAGAAGGCCUUAGGGUUGUAAAGUACUUUCAUCGGGGAGGAAAAAACAAAACUAAUAAUUUUAUUUCUUGACGUUACCCGAAAAAGAAGCACCGGCUAACUCCGUGCCAGCAGCCGCGGUAAUACGGAGGGUGCUAGCGUUAAUCAGAAUUACUGGGCGUAAAGAGCGCGUAGGUGGUUUUUUUAAGUCAGAUGUGAAAUCCCUGGGCUUAACCUGGAACUGCAUUUUGAAACUGAAAUACUAGAGUAUCGUAGAGGGAGGUAGAAUUCUAGGUGUAGCGGUGAAAUGCGUAGAUAUCUGGAGGAAUACCUGUGGCGAAAGCGGCCUCCUAAACGAAUACUGACACUGAGGUGCGAAAGCGUGGGGAGCAAACAGGGAUUAGAUACC